rnacentral:rRNA from 1 species
GAGAGUUAAACAGUACGUGAAAUUGUUGAAAAGGAAACGAUUGAAGCCAGUCGUACCUUCGGGUAAUCAGCCUUUCGGGUGCGAUUCUGUGGAGUGUGAGGAGCUUAAACACCUUCAUGUUUUGCAUAUUCGUACUCUUGGGUGUACUUGCCCGUAUGGUUGGUUAACAUCAAUUUUGGUGGUCAUAAAAUGACUGGAGGAAUGUAGCUUCGAUCUUGUAUUGAAGUGUUAUAGCCUUCGGUAGAUGUGAUGAUCAAGAUUGAGGAUUGCAACGGAUACCCUUCGGGGCUACCUGUCUGAUCUCUGAUCGUUGCUCUGGUGCCGAAAGCUUGCUUACGGUUAUCAGAGUCGAUGGUCAAUAGGUUAGAACGGGUUAAAUUCGUUAAGGAUGUUGACGUAAUGGCUUUAAACGA